UGGGGAAUUUUGGACAAUGGGCGAAAGCCUGAUCCAGCAAUGCCGCGUGUGUGAAGAAGGCCUUCGGGUUGUAAAGCACUUUUGUCCGGAAAGAAAUCCUUGGCUCUAAUACAGUCGGGGGAUGACGGUACCGGAAGAAUAAGCACCGGCUAACUACGUGCCAGCAGCCGCGGUAAUACGUAGGGUGCAAGCGUUAAUCGGAAUUACUGGGCGUAAAGCGUGCGCAGGCGGUUUGCUAAGACCGAUGUGAAAAUCCCCGGGCUCAACCUGGGAACUGCAUUGGUGACUGGCAGGCUAGAGUAUGGCAGAGGGGGGUAGAAUUCCACGUGUAGCAGUGAAAAUGCGUAGAGAUGUGGAGGAAUACCGAUGGCGAAGGCAGCCCCCUGGGCCAAUACUGACGCUCAUGCACGAAAAGCGUGGGGAGCAAAACAGGAUUAGAUACCCUGGUAGUCCACGCCCUAAAACGAUGUCAACUAGUUGUUGGGGAUUCAUUUCCUUAGUAAACGUAGCUAAACGCGUGAAGUUGACCGCCUGGGGAGUAACGGUCGCAAAGAUUAAAAACUUAAAAGGAAUUGACGGGGUCAUAGCUGUUUCCU
rnacentral:rRNA from 1 species